CGAACAGUCAUCUCUCUCUCUCUCUCAAUCAAUUGUAUUCCUAUUAAGAUUUCUCCACACAACGAUUUCGAAAUCAAUUGAAGUUGAAGACAUUCAUCAUUAUACAAGUAAAUGGUAUGGCGUGGUUUUUAGGAGUGAAGAAGAAGGAAGGUGAAAGAUGGGCGUAUUAGGGUUCCUGAGGAGAGUGGUAGCUGCAACUAUGGGCUGUUUUCUCGGUUGUUUUGGAGUGAAAGACUCGCACUCUCGUCUCAAAACAACUCCCGAGAAGGAGCGCCUUGUGUAUCGCGAUAGGAAUGCACUGUCAUCGCUAUUUGUUCCCGAUGGUUAACUAGACUCAGAAGAUGAUUUAAUUCGAAAGACUGAGGAAAGUUGGGGUCCAAUGUCUGAAGCAAUUGAUAUUAAGGAGCUCAAGGAUGAGGCCAAGUUCCUGAAAGCAUGUGGAACUUUGCUUGAGACUCCUGUUGAAAUUCAUAAAGUCUCUCGUAAAAGGCUGGAUACAGAUGCUCACAAAGAAGAACUCAAUCCAUUGAUGACCUGUGCAUCCAUUGAGAAACUGAAACUAAAGGAUCCACUUGAUGAAUCUUCAACGCCUGUUAAAACUGGUGGAAAAUGGGUAACUGGUGAAGGUUUUUUGGUAGGCAAUCUGAGCAGAUAUGUCUCAUGCAUAUAAAUUUGAAUGUAUUGAGCAGCUCUGGUUCUCAAAAAUAAUGUUGAGUUAUACAUGAGUUGUCAAUUUGUCAUGUUUUCAGCAUAUCAGUAGAUAUCAGAUAUAGUUGCAUAAUCAGUAGAUAUCAGAUAUAAGUUGUCAAUUUGUCAUGAGUUGUCAAUUUGAAUGCAGCAAAAUAAGCCCAAGUGCCAUGGAAUCCGUUUUUCCUGAAGUUGAUUUUCUAUUAUCUUUGUUUAAGAAUUCAUGUACGCAGUUGGUUGAUCUUAGGAAACAGGUGAAGCUUUCAGCUAAUUUCCUUUCAGUGGUAUGCUAUUCACUUAUGAUCUCCCUAAUAUUGAUGUUUGUUCUCUGAUUGACCAGAAACUCUACAAUGAUAAAACUGAAGUUUCUGCUCAAGACACUCUAAGCAUCGGAAGACGCUUUCUGAGGUAGUUGCUAAACUGUACCAAUGCUUCUCCUGCUCGGGAUCCAGGAACUCCGGCCGGCAGCUCAGGAUGAUGGGGAAGGAACCAAUAUUUUCUGCCACAAUAUUUGUGAACACAUGUAUUAUGUGCUAUGUAAUGUUGCAAGAAUGAUGAGGUGACAACCUAUUAACUUGUUCAAUCCAAAGCGUGUUUAAACAUCUUCUACUCCAGCAUGUAUACAUGGUCGUGGAACUCCACAAGCAUAAGCAUUUAUAUAUUAAUGGAGGAACUUGUAAAGGGUUGAACGGUAGUCAUGUUGGCAUUCUGGAAACAGAUUAAGGAACAUUAGAUACUUAAAUUUCACAACUUAGGAUAACCAUAUGCUGCAUUUCCC